UAUUUUAGAUCAGUAAAAAAU
rnacentral:piRNA from 1 species